rnacentral:rRNA from 1 species
UGGGGAAUAUUGCACAAUGGGCGCAAGCCUGAUGCAGCCAUGCCGCGUGUAUGAAGAAGGCCUUCGGGUUGUAAAGUACUUUCAGCGGGGAGGAAGGUGUUGUGGUUAAUAACCUCAGCAAUUGACGUUACCCGCAGAAGAAGCACCGGCUAACUCCGUGCCAGCAGCCGCGGUAAUACGGAGGGUGCAAGCGUUAAUCGGAAUUACUGGGCGUAAAGCGCACGCAGGCGGUCUGUCAAGUCGGAUGUGAAAUCCCCGGGCUCAACCUGGGAACUGCAUCCGAAACUGGCAGGCUUGAGUCUUGUAGAGGGGGGUAGAAUUCCAGGUGUAGCGGUGAAAUGCGUAGACAUCUGGAGGAAUACCGGUGGCGAAGGCGGCCCCCUGGACAAAGACUGACGCUCAGGUGCGAAAGCGUGGGGAGCAAACA